rnacentral:rRNA from 1 species
UACAGAGGUCUCAAGCGUUUGUUCGGAUUCAUUGGGCGUAAAGGGUGCGUAGGCGGCGCGGUAAGUCGGGUGUGAAAUCUUGGAGCUUAACUCCGAAACUGCAUUCGAUACUGCCGUGCUUGAGGACUGGAGAGGAGACUGGAAUUUACGGUGUAGCGGUGAAAUGCGUAGAUAUCGUAAGGAAGACCAGUGGCGAAGGCGGGUCUCGUGGACAGUUCCUGACGCUGAGGCACGAAGGCCAGGGGAGCAAACGGGG